AGCACAUUUGCAUCUCUUUGUUUCUGAUAUUAUCUCUGUUAUCCUAGAAAGUUGAUUGUGCAGUUACUAUGAGACUCAGUUCACUGAUGGAGAAACUAAGAGAGCACAGUUAAUUAUGAUAAUUCCCUAUAUUUAACAUUUGGAUUUGUUUGCUUUGUGUUUUUUGUUGUGUUUGUUGGUUUUGAGAUGGAGUCUCACUCUGUCACCCUGGCUGGAGUGCAGUGGUAUGAUCUCGGCUCACUGCAACCUCUGCCUCCCGGAUUCAAGCAAUUCUCCUGCCUCAGCCUUCUGAGUAGCUGGGAUUACAGACAUGUGCCACCACAACCGGCUAAUUAUUUGUAUUUUUUUUGUAGAGACAGGGUUUCUCCAUGUUGCUCAGGCUGGUCUCGAACUCCUGUCCUCAAAUAAUCCACCUGCCUCGGCCUCUCAAAGUGCUGGGAUUACAGCCGUGAGCCACUGCACCUGGCCUGACAUUUGCCCCAGUGCCAACCCCAUUCUCUGCAUCUCAGAUUCCUCGGUAACUUCAUGUCAUGGAAUUCUAACAAGUUUUGGCUGAUUGAUAUAGCAAAACAACAAAGACAGGCUUGAAAAAAGACAGAUGGGGCAAAUGUGGAAGGUGGCGGCCACUUUAAAUGACAGCUCCGCAACGGACAAAAACGGGCUCUCCUCAUUAUGUUCAUGGAACACCAAAUAUGAAGAAAUCAAGCUGCUUUAGGACUGAGACCCUUAUGGCAGCUCAUAUUGCAUUGGGAAAAAAUGUUAACAUUAAUAAGUUACAUAAGAAAAAUGUCCAAGAUCAACACAUUCAAGGCCAUUAUAAAUACUAGCAUAUACAUUCAGAAAUGCAAUUACACCAUCAGCAUGAACACGCAGGAAAAGAAAAUUCCUAUUUGCAUGGCUGUGAGGUUUCUUCUGGUUGCCAGCAAUUUCCAGAGUGUAUUGAAAUUUUCAAAUUAACUGAGGACAUUUUAGUCAAUUUUAUCUCUCAAUGCUUUUGUGUCACUUUUUCUUCAAGGUCUGUGCAUUUUGCUGAUUGAAAUGCUCAAACAUUUAUUCAUUUAUUCAUCUCAAAGGCACAGAUCAUCAUUAUGACUUUUUUUUUUUGAAAAAAUAGUGUCAGAACUUUCUAAUGUUCUUUUCUGUCUCUUUUCUCCAAAUACUUUCCCUCUUCAUAACCCUCUUUCUCCCCAGGGGACUUUCUAUUGCUUCUAUAGGGAAUUUUUUCAACGUCUGGUCUUUAAAAAGAAUUCCUCUUUAAUCCUAAAGCAUUCUAUGGAGAAAUCAGUUUCCAGAAGUUAGAAUAAAAUUCCAUGUGCAUGCCUGGGUCUGGGACAGGGUGCGGGAAAAGAAGAAAUGUUGGUAUGUAAUCUUAAAAUUCAAAUGCUGUUCAGUAGUGGCAUACCAUCUGAACUAGCUGCAAAUGGUAAAUAAACCCAGCUUGUAACUUAAUGAUCCUUGUGUUUGUGUGUCUGUGAAUACAUUAAGAACUCUCAAAGAAAAAAUUGUGGAAUCAUAAAUAAAAGACAGCAGUGAAUCACAGACAGUCACACAGAAACAAGACACCAUCCUCCCAUAUGCCUGUGUGGAUAUUGAUGUGGGUUCCUCACCUUUUCGGUUUGCAGUGGCAGCAUGAGACCCACUCUAGAUGCUGUGGCACAGGGAGAGGUUUGAUGGUCUUCAUUACAUAUUGUCUGCCCUGCAAAAAUCAUCUGCUUUGCUUGGAAUUGAUUUCAAAACCAGAUUCAUGCAGUGCCUGUUACACCACGAUAAACAAAUAAAUUAGCUGCUGCAAUAUGGAAAUUUACAUGAUUCAGUGUACUUAAAAACUGUUAACUGUGAACUUAUUAAUUGAAAGCCACAGGACAAUAAUCAGCAUGUCCUUCAGUAGGAAAACGAAUCUCUUGUUAAAGCGAAUUUGUAAGGCAAUAAAGAUGUAUUUUUUCAAAUAAAUGUAUGCCUCAAGCCAUUUGAUGUGAUAUUUUUAACUUCAACUUUCGGUGGCUCGUGCUUUGUUUGUGGACUACAUAUUGAUUUGUUUCCUGAAAACGUGUAGUGUAACUCUACAUUCCCACAUGGGUUUUUUUCCACCGCACCAUGCAGGUUAUAUUCAUUCCA
rnacentral:lncRNA from 1 species